rnacentral:rRNA from 1 species
AUUUGGCGGACGGGUGAGUAAUAUAUCGGAACGUACCCAGUAGUGGGGGAUAACUAUCCGAAAGGAUAGCUAAUACCGCAUACGAUCUGUGGAUGAAAGCAGGGGAUCUUCGGACCUUGUGCUAUUGGAAUGGCCGAUAUCUGAUUAGCUAGUUGGUAGGGUAAAAGCCUACCAAGGCGACGAUCAGUAGCUGGUCUGAGAGGACGACCAGCCACACUGGAACUGAGACACGGUCCAGACUCCUACGGGAGGCAGCAGUGGGGAAUUUUGGACAAUGGGGGCAACCCUGAUCCAGCAAUGCCGCGUGAGUGAAGAAGGCCCUCGGGUUGUAAAGCUCUUUUGUCAGGGAAGAAACGGUGAUCUCUAAUAUAGAUUGCUAAUGACGGUACCUGAAGAAUAAGCACCGGCUAACUACGUGCCAGCAGCCGCGGUAAUAAU